ACCAAGAAAGAAGGUAUGUAAGCGGAGGGGUACAGAUUAGGUAACUGGGACACAGGAAAUAACUAGCGAGACCAGGACACACAGCAAGAUAUGGACAUUGAUCAACAAAAUCCUGGGCAAAUGACAGCUAGAGGACAAGUGAUACCAGGAGUUCUCCCCGCUGCCCCUGCAACACAGACUCUUUGCAGAUGUGAGACACGCAGCGACAGGAAUAAACUAUGGCUGGCUGAAGCUGGCGGAUGGGAGAGUAACACACCCCAGGAGUCUGUAGUGGGCUCCCAGUAGAUGUGUAAGGACCCAAAGGGUGGGAAGCAGUAGACAUUGUCUCAUCUGUCGUAAGUGCACAGUGGGUGCGCAGGCGGAGACUCACCCAUUGGGUCGGGCAGCAGGUGACAUUCUCCGUUGGCACAAAAGAGAGAGUAACAACCCACCCCUUAGACGAUGUGCGAAAAUGCGCAACAAACACAAGCAGUAUUAAUGCCCACCUAAGGGGCUCAACAGGAAGAAGUAUUGGAGUGCCGCAAUACAAGCAACACCUGCCCAAUCCUAGAGAGCAAGCAAAGGCCCGUCAACGGCGAGUGCAGAAUUAAGACGAGGUGGUAGAGCCACCACCCAGGGAUUCGCCAUGGCGUUGAGGUUGCAAAAGAAUAAAUCCAAGCAACCCACAUCUGCACCGGGGGCAAGACCCAGUGAAAAGCGACCAGCAAGUUGAAGACUCUAUAGCAGCCUUAAAGAUGGCAUUAGAAUCCAAGAUGGAUGCGAUCAGCAUUGACGUGAACCUCCUGAGACAAGAUGUUUGGGCGCUUGCUGAGCGCACAGGGGCGUUUGAAAAGGAAGUUGCAGUCAACGCCACUAGCCUAAAAGACACCUCGAGAUGUUUCGAUAUUGCAACAAGUGAAGAACCUGGAGGGCAGAGUGGAAGACCUGGAGGGAAGGGCCGGAUGUAAUAAUGUCAGAAUUAUCGGACUCCCGGAAGGGGAAGAGGAGGUCAACCCCACCAACUACAUAGAGACCAUGCUAUUACAAGAAACUGGCCCUGGCAAUCUCACCCAAGGUUUCACAGUGGAGAGCGCACAGGUCGCUGAUGAGGAAACUGCCACCGGGCGCCCCUCCACAGCCGAUCAUAACCCAGAUUUUAAACUACAGAGACGGGGAGAAGAUUCUGGAACAUUUCCGUGGGAACGAUUCAUCGAGCAUCAUUUGAUAUUACUGCAUACCCAGACUAUACCAUGCAGGUGCAGAGACGGAAUGAACUUCACAUCGGUAAAGAGAAGGCUGUGAGCAUCAAACCUCAAAUAUACGAUGCUGUACCUGACACACCUGAAAAAAAAUAAACCAUCUUCCGCCAGGCCGUACCCAUAUCCGCAGCAGGUCUCCAAGGUGAACAGCCUCUGGCAUGUUGGAACAAUGUUGGAACACUGUAGGUAAGGGAAGUUGGCUCCGUAACUUCAGGAUAAGGAUUGGCUUCAAGGGCUGGGUCAGUCGGGCUGCGGCACGAAGCAGCUGGACAAGGUGUCUCUGACUCUGGAUACAAGCCGAGCCCUUCCUGUGGAUCGCCCCAGCUAAGGUGGUCACCUCUCUCUGUUCCCCUCCUGGGGUUGAGGGCUGGUGUUCUGCCUCGUCCGACACCUAGCAGCUGACUUAAAACUGGUGCAGACCAGGGGAAUCCGACUGUUAAAUUAAAACAAAGCAUUGCAUAAGGCCCACAGUGGGUGUUGAUGCAAUGUGAUUUCUGCCCAGUGCUCUGAAUGUCAAAGUGAAGAAAUUCAAUGAAGUGCGGGUAAACGGCAGGGUAACUAUAACUCUCUUAAGGUAGCCAAAUGCCUUGUCAUCUACGCCCAUGAAUGGAUGAACGAGAUUCCCACUGUCCCUACCUACUAUCUAGUGAUCCCACAGCCAAGGGAACGGGCUUGGCAGAAUCAGCGGGGAUAGAAGACACUGUUGAUAUUCACUCUAGUCUGUUGCUCUGAAGACUGUCACUCUGAAGAGACUUGAGAGGUGUAGGAUAAGUGGGAGGCCCUUGGGCCACCAGUGAAAUACCACUACUCUUAUUGUUUUUUCACUUACCUGGUGAGGUGGGGCGGCGAGUCCUGUGGGGCUCUCGCUUCUGGCUCCAAGUGCCUGGCAUAACCCGCUCCAUGGACAGUGGCAGGUGGGGAGUUUGACUGGGGUGGUACACCUGACAAACGAUAACGCUGGUGUCCUAAGGCGAGCUCGGGGAGGACAGAAACCUCCCAUGGAGCAGAAGGGCAAAAACUCCUUGAUCUCGAUUUUCAGUAUGAAUACAGAGCGUGAAAGCGGGGCCUCAGAAUCCUUCUGACAUUUUGGGUUUCAAACAGAAGGUGUCAGAAAAGAUACCACAGGGAUAACUGGCUUGUGGCGGCCAAGCGUUCAUAGUGACGUCGCUUUUUGAUCCUUAAAUGUCGGCUCUUCCUCUCCUUGUGAAGCACAAUUCAUCAAGCGUUGGAUUGUUCACCCACUAAUAAGGAACACAAGCUAGGCUUAGACCAUCGUGAGACAGGUUCGUUUUAUCCUUCCGAUGAUGUGUUGUUGCAAUAGUAAUCCUGCUCAGUACGAGAGGAACCGUAGUUUCAGACAAUUGGUGUAUGUGCUUGGCUGAGGAGCCAAUGAGGCGAAGCUACCAUCUGUAGGAUUAUGACUGAAUGCCUCUAGUCAGAAUCUCACCUAAACCGUAACGAUAACCGCAGCGCUGUGGAGCCUCAGUUGGCCUCUGGCCUCUGGCCAGGUGCGUAGAACCGCUCACCUCGGUACAAGUGUGGACAGAAGGGGGCCAUCUCUCUCGCCUGUGGUGCACUGCUUGUUUGCGGGGAACCUGGUGCUAAAUCAUUCGUAGGUGACCUGAAUCUGGGUUUGGUUUCGCAAGUAGCAGAGCAGCUACCUU
rnacentral:rRNA from 1 species